AACAAAACACAGAACAAAACAGAGCAAGAAAACUCUUAACAAGUUAAGGAGGGAGAAACAGAAAAUCGGAAUGAGCCUGAAUCCUUCAUAACUUUGUUGAACUCUGGGACUGUUUACUCCUUUUUGGGCUUGAGCUUGAAGCCAGGGUGUUGUUCAUGCUACACAGUGUUCAGCCAGAAUUUACAACCCCAGCCUGCUCCUAGUUUGGAAAUUACAUGUUUUUUCUUUCGGUGAUUACCUUCAAAUUUAAAAGAAAGGUGUUUUAGAGUGGUAAUGCUCUGGGACCUCCGAAUCUUGAUCCAGAACUUGACAUUCUUGGACAUCCUGAUAAUGGAAACCGAAAUUACAAGUCCAUGAUGUGAAAAAGAAACUUUGAUUAAAUUCCACGAAUGUUAAUUGGACGCCUACUACACACAAGUCACUGUGGGUGAUAUAAAAGUGAAUAGCACAGAGUUCCUGCCAAACUGGAAAUUUCAUUCCGUGUAACCACUUGGAGCAGCUCACCAGAGCCUUUUCCUUUUUUAUGUUUCCUUCAUGUAAGGGUGAAAGUUAAUGGUAACAGAUGGAACUUUUCAAUUUAUUGAGCUUACAGUCUUGAUAAUCAUCAAAUGUGCUAAUUCCAUUUUACAGUAUAAGUUGUUGCACUGCAUCCAAGUCUUAUUAAAUAAUGAUUGACUCAUUUUGCGCAGGUGGUAACACUGGAGAACAGGCCAUAGUAUUAACAUGCAAAUUGGGAUGAAAGAUCAUAUUUACAUAUGAUCUUUAUUCAUUCAUUCAUUAUUUUUCACAUUAAAAUUGUUUUAAACACCAACCAGUAGAAGUUCCUUAAUCCUGUUUUUAGAAUUUAUUGAUUUAGCCUCUGGACGUUAGAUGAUGAAUAAAAACGAAUGUUUAUGAGUGAUCCUAUUAUUUAUACCAUGUACAACUAUAGAUGUCUAGCAAAUGGCUGAGACUGACCAAGCUAAAAUUUCACUGUUGUUCUCAUUAGUAUGUGUGUGUAAUACAGAAUGAUUAUGUUCACCAUGGUGAGCUGGUGUAUGUA